GUCGAGCGGCAGCGGAAAGUAGCUUGCUACUUUGCCGGCGAGCGGCGGACGGGUGAGUAAUGUCUGGGAAACUGCCUGAUGGAGGGGGAUAACUACUGGAAACGGUAGCUAAUACCGCAUGACCUCGAAAGAGCAAAGUGGGGGAUCUUCGGACCUCACGCCAUCGGAUGUGCCCAGAUGGGAUUAGCUAGUAGGUGAGGUAAUGGCUCACCUAGGCGACGAUCCCUAGCUGGUCUGAGAGGAUGACCAGCCACACUGGAACUGAGACACGGUCCAGACUCCUACGGGAGGCAGCAGUGGGGAAUAUUGCACAAUGGGCGCAAGCCUGAUGCAGCCAUGCCGCGUGUGUGAAGAAGGCCUUAGGGUUGUAAAGCACUUUCAGCGAGGAGGAAGGCAUCACACUUAAUACGUGUGGUGAUUGACGUUACUCGCAGAAGAAGCACCGGCUAACUCCGUGCCAGCAGCCGCGGUAAUACGGAGGGUGCAAGCGUUAAUCGGAAUUACUGGGCGUAAAGCGCACGCAGGCGGUUUGUUAAGUCAGAUGUGAAAUCCCCGAGCUUAACUUGGGAACUGCAUUUGAAACUGGCAAGCUAGAGUCUUGUAGA
rnacentral:rRNA from 1 species